rnacentral:lncRNA from 1 species
GGUAUUCCUCUAAUACCCACUAUUUAUUUAUUUUUUUUUCCUUACAGGGAAUCAAUAAACGGAAAAAUCAUUGCCUGCUAAUGUUCACAAUCUCUUUGAACGUUGGAUUUGUUUGGCAAAUAGGACUGACUUGUUUAAAACCUCCACAUGAGACAUUUAUUUCACAGAGAGCAAAAAAGAAGAGUGAUCAUCAUAAUCUGCUGGAAUUAACAACCUAGCAUAGCUCUUGGCUUAGAUUAACUGCUGCAUUUAUGGUGUACUCCAAAAAGCAGUUCUCUUGUAAAGCUGAACAAGUGGGAUGAGGUUACGCUAAGCAAGAAGGAGAUCACUGGCAAGAAAGAUCUCAAAAGUUCACAGAAAAGCAAGAGAAAAAGAGACACAAAAAGAUCUUGUCAAGAAGAAUGCUCAGAGCACCAAGUUAUAUCUCCCUCGACAUAAACACAUACAGACAAAAAUGACUCACUGUGAGUCAGAGAGAGGGGUUUUAUUUACACCACAGAACUUGGAAAUAACAUUGCUGCCGAUUCUGUUCUGUUCAGUGAUGGUGGGUAUAAGCACAAGGCUGCUAACACUUCUGUAUGAAUCAACGUUUUAAAAUCACUCCUCCCUUCAGUCAGAACUGUUUUCUCGCUUAUGUGAAUUAACCUACCGAACUGGCACAUGAAAUAGUCUGUUUCAGUAUCUAUUACUGAAUAUGUUUUGGCCUGGAUCCCUACAGCAGUUAGGAGCUUGAGUUGUACUGAAAUCACUGAGCAGAGGGGGAAAAAGAAAGUAUUAUUCCUGCUCUUUUCUCUGAGUAACUUUCAGACCAUGACCUGUGGCCAAGCUUUGUGGGAGAAUCUGUCCUGGCACCCUCCUCCAUGGAGGUCCUGUGUGUGGGACACAGCAGUGAGGGAGAAGCAGGGCUGGGAGGUGCUGUGAGCAUGGGACAGAAUACACCUGGAUAGAAUACGUCCCUACUCUUUGUGAGGAGUGAACUGAGAUGUGCUCAUCUUUGACAAGGUGGAUACAUUUCUCCUAGAAAGAAAACACUUUUUGAUCUAGAAAAAACAUCUGAGCUGCUGAGAAAUAUUUUGAUAGAUGUUUCGUUGCCAUCCCUACCAGUCAUUCAUGUCCAACAUGUCCCCUGCCGCCAUAACAGAACAGCAAUACUUCACAAUGGCAAGUCCAGAUGCAUUUUGAAUGGGUGCUCUAUGGCUGGUGAUGUCUCCUGCUUGCCUCCCAGCUCCUACAGCCCCCUGUAAGACAGCAUGGUGAUGAGUCUGUUGUUGGAAUUUGGGACAGGCAGGGGACAUCACACAUUCGGCAGUAG